UACGUAGGGUGCGAGCGUUAUCCGGAAUUACUGGGCGUAAAGGGCGCGUAGGCGGUUUAUUGGGUGUGAUGUGAAAGCCUUGGGCUUAACCUGAGAAGUGCAUCGCAAACUAAUAGACUGGAGUAGAUGAGAGGUGGCGGAAUUUCCGGUGUAGCGGUGAAAUGCGCAGAUAUCGGGAGGAACACCAGUAGCGAAGGCGGCACUCUGGGCCGUGACUGACGCUGAGGAGCGAAAGCGUGGUAGCAACAGG
rnacentral:rRNA from 1 species